rnacentral:lncRNA from 1 species
CGUUUAAUUUACUUUGUACUUGAUAAACUAGAUGCAAUGUGCAACAGCACUGCUUGUUACUGCAUGUAGGAUAGGCAGCAAAUGCAAAACCUCUACAGCAAGGAACUAAAUUUAUCAUGGGAUUACCAGAAUGGAAUAAGUGCUCUGAAUUAUUUAUUUCUCACUAGCCAUUCAAACACAAGAACUUGAAUGAGGGCAAAUCCAAUAAGCGAGCCCAUGACUUAUGUAUGGAGAACGCCGUAUUAAAUCAUAAUUUAUGGCAUACUGCACUCAUGGAAAAAAAAAAAAAAAAAAAGAGUUGUUUAACAACUAAAACAAGAGGAAGCACGGAAAGAUGCUGGUUAUGAAAGAAACCCGGGUUUCGCGUUACAUGACAAAGAAUUAGAGAAACAAAAUAAGAAUAUAACGCAGGAAAAGAGUGCAGGUUCCAGGAUUAGGAACAAAUACUGGGAGUUCAUUGAGCAAAGCAGCGUUUUCCAUCGCAACCACAGCCAAGGGCUCCACAGCAUCCCUAACCCCGGCGGAGGAUGCGUUCACCGUAGCGCUUGCCGGGCAGCACAGCCCGUGUCCUGCCAGCCAAGGGGACACCAGGGGUGUCCUGGGGGUGUCCCCGCUGCCGCUAUACGCCCGGUGGGAGCGCGGAGGGCAGUGCCCCGCAGCCGCCCCUCGCCCCGCCGCCGCUGACUUUACCUUUCUGCUGCCGAAAGGACUGGAUGGAGCCCGAGUGGUGCACCAUCGUGCCGUGCCGUGCCGCUGCUCGGCAGCCCGCCGCCUCUCCCGGCCCGCCGGCUGCGGGGGGCGGGAGCCCGGCGGCCCGGCCCGCCCCGGGCCCGGCUCGGCCCGCCCCGGCCCGGCCCGCAGCCCCCGUUGCCAUGGUAACGGGCGGCCCGGCCCGGCCCGCCGCGCGGAAUGGCGGCGGCCGCCCCCGAGGCAGCCCCGAGGAGGGCGGAUGGGGCAGGCUCCGGGCCCCGCUCCCUCCGCCCCAGCCCCGACAUCACCCCGCUCUGCUGCCCCUUCCCUUGAAAACAAGCCAGCAAAGAAGCUCCAUUUUGUUCUAAAAGAUUUAGGCCAAAAUAGAAGUCUAAGGAGUUUGGCAUCCUUGAAUGUGGAACACGCUGUAAUCCUCAGAACAGACCUUUACAGAAGUGAAAAAGUCCUUCUGCAACAAUACAAAAAGAUCACAGAGAAAGCACUAAUGUCACAAAGCAGGUGAAGAGCAUGAAAGAGAACUAUAAUAGCAGCAUCCAAUAUACCCUGUGUAUUAUAUAUAUUUAUAUUAUAUACCCUAUCCAUAUUUCCUAAGUAGGCAACUUUUAACAGUCAUUUUUAUUUCAUGUUAUAUAUCUGUUUUCUUAUUUUGCUUCUUAUCUGAAACAAAUAGCAGAAGAGAUUAGUGUUCUCC